rnacentral:misc_RNA from 1 species
GAUGAAGAACGUAGCAAAAUGCGAUAAGUAAUGUGAAUUGCAGAAUUCAGUGAAUCAUCGAAUCUUGAACGCACAUUGCGCCCGCCAGUAUUCUGGCGGGCAUGCCUGUUCGAGCGUCAUUUCAACCCUCAAGCACAGCUUGGUGUUGGGACUCGCGUUAAUUCGCGUUCCCCAAAUUGAUUGGCGGUCACGUCGAGCUUCCAUAGCGUAGUAGUAAAACCCUCGUUACUGGUAAUCGUCGCGGCCACGCCGUUAAACCCCAACUUCUGAAUGUUGACCUCGGAUCAGGUAGGAAUACCCGCUGAACUUAAGCAUAUCAAUAAGCGGAGGA